GACAGAGGCCCCAAGCGUUAGGCGGAAUCACUGGGCUUAAAGCGUGUGUAGGCGGAUGUCUAAGUACCUUGUGAAAUCCCACGGCUCAACCGUGGAACUGCUUGGUAUACUGGAUGUCUUGAGCCAUCUAGGGGCUACCGGAACAAAUGGUGGAGCGGUGAAAUGCGUAGAUAUCAUUUGGAACGCCAAUGGUGAAAACAGGUAGCUGGGGAUGUGCUGACGCUGAGACACGAAAGCCAGGGGAGCGAACGGG
rnacentral:rRNA from 1 species